UACGGGGGGGGCAAGCGUUGUUCGGAAUUACUGGGCGUAAAGGGCUCGUAGGCGGCCAACUAAGUCAGACGUGAAAUCCCUCGGCUUAACCGGGGAACUGCGUUUGAAACUGGGAGACUUGAGUGUGGCAGAGGGGGGUGGAAUUCCACGUGUAGCAGUGAAAUGCGUAGAUAUGUGGAGGAACACCGAUGGCGAAGGCAGCCCCCUGGGUUAACACUGACGCUCAUGCACGAAAGCGUGGGGAGCAAACAGG
rnacentral:rRNA from 1 species